GACGAACGCUGGCGGCGUGCUUAACACAUGCAAGUCGAACGGAAAGGCCCUGCUUUUGCGGGGUGCUCGAGUGGCGAACGGGUGAGUAACACGUGAGUAACCUGCCCUUGACUUUGGGAUAACUUCAGGAAACUGGGGAUCAUACCGGAUAGGAGCUCCUGCUGCAUGGUGGGGGUUGGAAAGUUUCGGCGGUUGGGGCUGGACUCGCGGCUUAUCCGCUUGUUGGUCGGGUAGUGGCUUACCAAGGCUUUGACGGGUAGCCGGCCUGAGAGGGUGACCGGCCCCAAUGCGACUACGAUACGGCGCAGUAUCCUACGGGAGGCAGCGGUGGAGAAUAUGACACAAUGGGCGGAAGCCAGUUGCAGCAACGCCGCGUGCGGGAUGACGGCCUUCGGGUUGUAAACCGCUUUCGCCUGUGACGAAGCGUGAGUGACGGUAAUGGGUAAAGAAGCACCGGCUAACUACGUG
rnacentral:rRNA from 1 species